GAUGAACGCUAGCGGCAGGCUUAAUACAUGCAAGUCGAGGGGCAGCACGGUUAGCAAUAACUGGUGGCGACCGGCGCACGGGUGCGUAACACGUAUACAAUCUACCUUAAACAGGGGGAUAGCCUUUCGAAAGAGAGAUUAAUACCCCGUAAUAAAUUGAACGGCAUCGUUUGAUUUUGAAAGCUCCGGCGGUUUGAGAUGAGUAUGCGUCUGAUUAGCUAGUUGGUGAGGUAACGGCUCACCAAGGCGACGAUCAGUAGGGGAUCUGAGAGGACUAACCCCCCACACUAGUACUGAGACACGGACCAGACUCCGUACGGGAGGCAGCAGUAAGGAAUAUUGGUCAAUGGAGGCAACUCUGAACCAGCCAUGCCGCGUGCAGGAUGACGG
rnacentral:rRNA from 1 species